UUUAAAAUUCAAAUUUAUCUGGGCUUCCUAUAUUUUAUCUGGCAACCCUAACAUUAACUUCUUUGAUAAAAGUCAGUGUUUCACAUUUUAAUUGAAAAAUUUUGAUGAGAAAAAGGGUAAGAUGGCAGCCAGCCCCAUCUACUGUAUGAAAUGGCUUUAGGAAAGUCACUUGCUAACUUUCUGGCAUCAUCUUAACCCCAGAAUUGUCUCUCUCUCUCAUGAAAGUUAUUGUCUCCUUUCCUUUCCUGGACAACUGAACAUUCUCCUACACCCAAACUCCCUAAUUUUCCUGCCCAAAUUGUCUCUAACUCAGCUAAACUAUUCCCUAGUUUGGGGGCACUAAAGUCACCAAGAGAGCCAGUCCAUGGGAGGUAAUUCAUCAGCCCGAGCUGCCCCCAAGCACAUUGGCUGUGCAGUGUACUAGUAAAUGACUGAAUUUGAAGAUUUAUAUUCUAUAAAAGUUAUUCAUGUCCCAUUCUAUCAUCUGUACAAUAUCAGCACUUUACACAUUGAGAAAGAUGAUAUAGCAACUAACAAAUCCUACUGAAUCCUCUAUCUGCAGCCACUGCAUUAAGAACUAUAAAACCAGGAUGCAAAGACAUUGUCCUUGUUCACAAAGGCUCCUGUAUUAGUCCAUUAUCACACUGCUAUAAAGAACUGCCUGAGACUUGGUAAUUUGGAAAGGAAGAGGUUUAAUUGACUCACAGUUCCGCAUGGCUGGGGAGGCCUCAGGAAACUUACAAUCAUGGCAGAAGGGGAGGCAAACACAUCCUCUUCAUAUGAUGGCAGGAAGGAGAAGUGCCAAGCAAAGAGGGAAAAGCCCCUUACAAAACCAUCAGAUCUUGUGAGAACUCAGUCACUAUCAUGAGAACAGCAGCAUGGAGGUAAUGGGAAUGUGGGGAUUUUGGGAACUACAAUUCAAGAUGAGACUUGGGCAGGGACACAGCCAAACCAUAUCAGCUCCUUUUCUAAUUCAGAUACAGACAAUUAGUUACGAACACAAUAAGCUAACUUCGCUAAAGAAGAAAUAAAAAAAAAAUCAAGGGUGUGUCAGUAGGUGAAUUUUGGAGAACUGAGGCCCAAAUUCACGCAAGAAAGAGGCAAGGCCAUUUAUUAGUGUUGCUCUCCCACCAGCCCUGACAGGUUGCAUCAUUUUUAUUCCCUUGAACAGACAAGAGAAGUGGCAACCAGAGUUGUUGAUAGUAUAGUCGGCCCUCCAUAGCCAUGGUUUCUCCAUCCAUGGAUUCAGUGUGAAUUGAAAAUAUUCGGGAAAAAAAUUACAUCUUGGGAGGCUGAGGCAGGAAGAUAGCUAGAGCCCGGGAGUGUGAAGCCACGGUGAGCUAUGCAUCACAGCACUCCAGCCUAGGCAACACAGGGAAACCUUGUCCUAAAAAGAAAAAACAAUUUAUGUGUACUGAAAAAGUACAGACUUUUUUUUCUUGUCAUUAUUCUCUAAACAGUACAACUAUUAACAUAUCAUUUACAUUGUAUUAGGUAUUAUAAGUCAUCCAGCGAUGAUUUAAAGUAUACAUGAAGUUGUGCAUAGGUUAUAUGCAAACCCUACAUUAUCUUGUAUCAGGGACUUGAGCAUCCGUGGAUUUGGGUAUGGGGGGUGGCUCCUGGACCCAGUCCCUCAGGAUACCGAGGGAUGAUUGUAAUUCAUCAACAGAAACUUGCCCUGGGUCACAAAACUGGUAAGGGACAGGACCAUAAUACAAACCCAGAUGUCUUCAAUGUUAAAGCCUAUCUUUUUAUUUUAAGUUUUAAUUUUUUCCUAAGUGGCACACAUACAUAAUUAGAUGGUUGGCACACACAUGCGCAUGUGUGCAUAUGUCAUGGGGUGUUCAGUUGACCAACUAUCCUGGUUUGCCCGGAACUGGUGAAUUUUCUGGGUCAUGAGGCCUUUAGUGCUAAAACUGGUAAAAUUAAACUUGAAAAGUCCCAGGCAAAUUGGGAUGAGUUGGUCAUUCUAGCCUGGCCUUCCUUUUCCAGGAAGUAUUUGAAAAUAUGUGAGGGCAGUUUUCUUCCCUCCCUCCCUUCUCCUCAUUCUCUUUCCUUUGUUACUGCUACAGUGCCCAGGGUAGGGGGUUGGGGUUAGACAUUACUGGUAUUUUGGGAAGGGGCUGGGCAAAGACUGCUAAGUAUUUUGCAGUUUGCACUGGGUGGGAUGGUCCCACCCAGUGAAAAGUAUGUAAAAUUUUAUUUUUACAUCCUCCUGAGUUAGCCUUUUGUCAGCUUUACAACCCAGAUUGUUUUUUUCAGAAAUCUGAGAGCCAUCUUUUUGAAAUGCAAACACCUAGGAAAAUAAUGUCUCUAUGUUCCAUUCACUGUGGAAGUUUAACCUCUGAGCACCUUUCUGUCUCUAUCUUCACCUGUUUGUCACAAAGUUCUUAUCAGAGAGUCUAUCAAUUAUUUUUCAUGAAGAACUCUUUCCUGGAAACUUCUGACCUGCUCCCGUCUCAGAACAGUGGUGUCCAAUCUUUUGCCUUCCCUGGCCACAUUGGAAGAAGAAUUGUCUUGGUCCACACAUAAAAUACGCUAACACUAAUGAUAGCUGAUAAGCUAAAAAAAAAAAAAAAAAAAAUCCCAUAAUGUUUUAAGAAAGUUUAUGGGCCAUACACAGUGGCUUACACCUGUAAUCCCAGCACUUUGGGAGGCCGAGGCAGACAGAUAACCUGAAGUUGGGAGUUUGAGACCAGCCCGACCAACAUGGAGAAACCCCAUCUCUACUAAAAAUACAAAAUUAGCCAGGUGUGGUGGCGCAUGCCUGUAAUCCCAGCUACUUGGGAGGCUGAGGCAGGAGAAUUGCUUGAACCCAGGAGGCGGAGGUUGCGGUGAGCUGAGAUUG